rnacentral:rRNA from 1 species
CCUACGGGUGGCAGCAGUGAGGAAUAUUGGUCAAUGGGCGGAAGCCUGAACCAGCCAAGUCGCGUGAGGGAAGAAGGCCCUACGGGUUGUAAACCUCUUUUGCCGGGGAGCAAGGGCGGGGACGUGUCCCGGCCCGGAGAGUACCCGGAGAAAAAGCAUCGGCUAACUCCGUGCCAGCAGCCGCGGUAAUACGGAGGAUGCGAGCGUUAUCCGGAUUUUUUGGGUUUAAAGGGUGCGUAGGCGGGCUUUUAAGUCAGGCGUGAAAGUUUGGGGCUCAACCCCCGCAGGGCCGUUGAAACUGGGGGCCUUGAGUAUGUGUGAGGAAGGCGGAAUGCGUGGUGUAGCGGUGAAAUGCUUAGAUAUCACGCAGAACCCCGAUUGCGAAGGCAGCCUUCCAGCGCCUUACUGACGCUGAGGCACGAAAGUGCGGGGAUCAAACAGGAUUAGAUACCCCAGUAGUC